UGAGGAAUUUUGCGCAAUGGGGGAAACCCUGACGCAGCAACGCCGCGUGAGUGAAGAAGGCUUUCGGGUCGUAAAGCUCUGUCAAGUGGGAAAAAAAUCUGAUGAUUAAUAGUUGUCAGGUCUGAUGGUACCACUGGAGGAAGCACCGGCUAACUCCGUGCCAGCAGCCGCGGUAAUACGGAGGGUGCAAGCGUUGUUCGGAAUUACUGGGCGUAAAGGGCGUGCAGGCGGGUUGGUAAGUCAGAUGUGAAAGCCCUGGGCUUAACCCAGGAAGUGCAUUUGAAACUGCCAUCCUUGAGUAUGGGAGAGGAGAGUGGAAUUCCCGGUGUAGAGGUGAAAUUCGUAGAUAUCGGGAGGAAUACCGGUGGCGAAGGCGACUUUCUGGCUGAAUACUGACGCUGAGGCGCGAAAGCGUGGGGAGCAAACAGGAUUAGAUACCCUGGUAGUCCACACCGUAAACGCUGUCUACUAGCUGUUUGUGGAUUUAAUCCGUGAGUAGCGAAGCUAACGCGAUAAGUAGACCGCCUGGGGAGUACGGCCGCAAGGUUAAAACUCAAAUGAAUUGACGGAA
rnacentral:rRNA from 1 species